CACUCCGGUGGCCUAGUCGUUAGAGCGUCCGCCUCGAAAGCGGCAGAUCGUGGGUUCGGUCCCCGGUCGAGUCA